AACGAACGCUGGCGGCAGGCCUAACACAUGCAAGUCGAGCGAGGACUUCGGUCCUAGCAGCGGACGGGUGAGUAACGCGUGGGAACGUGCCCUUUGCUUCGGAAUAGCCCUGGGAAACUGGGAGUAAUACCGGAUGAGCCCUUUGGGGGAAAGAUUUAUCGGCGAAGGAUCGGCCCGCGUUGGAUUAGGUAGUUGGUGGGGUAAUGGCCUACCAAGCCGACGAUCCAUAGCUGGUUUGAGAGGAUGAUCAGCCACACUGGGACUGAGACACGGCCCAGACUCCUACGGGAGGCAGCAGUGGGGAAUCUUAGACAAUGGGGGAAACCCUGAUCUAGCCAUGCCGCGUGAGCGAUGAAGGCCUUAGGGUUGUAAAGCUCUUUCAGCUGGGAAGAUAAUGACGGUACCAGCAGAAGAAGCCCCGGCUAACUCCGUG
rnacentral:rRNA from 1 species